rnacentral:rRNA from 1 species
UGGGGAAUAUUGCGCAAUGGGCGAAAGCCUGACGCAGCAACGCCGCGUGAGGGAUGACGGCCUUCGGGUUGUAAACCUCUUUCAGCAGGGACGAAGCGAAAGUGACUGUACCUGCAGAAGAAGCGCCGGCUAACUACGUGCCAGCAGCCGCGGUAAUACGUAGGGCGCAAGCGUUGUCCGGAUUUAUUGGGCGUAAAGAGUUCGUAGGCGGUCUGUCGCGUCGGAAGUGAAAACCCGGAGCUCAACUCCGGGCCUGCUUUCGAUACGGGCAGACUUGAGUGUUGCAGGGGAGACUGGAAUUCCUGGUGUAGCGGUGGAAUGCGCAGAUAUCAGGAGGAACACCGGUGGCGAAGGCGGGUCUCUGGGCAACAACUGACGCUGAGGAACGAAAGCGUGGGGAGCGAACA